GGGGCUGCUUUGGUUUCGACAUUUAAAGUUGAUUAAAGUAUGAAUCAGGUCGAAGCUUGUAUUCUUCGUAAAAAUCUACAAAUUAAAAAUAAAUGCUAAUAACUUAAUUCGUUCAAUUUUUAAAGCAGUAAAUUUUGUGAAUAAACAAAAUCAUUCAAAAUUAUUACAAUUUGCUUUUUAAAAACUAAAGAAAUUUGAUUAUAAAAAUUUGUUCCCUAAGAUUAGACUUUUUUGUCUUAUUUAGUUUAGAAUAAUUUAAAAUAAAAAUGUGUUCUUUUGAACUAUGCCUGUGAAUAAAUACCUUAGACAAUUUUAAAUGGACGUGGGUUCAAUUCCCAUCAGCUCCA
rnacentral:tmRNA from 1 species